rnacentral:piRNA from 1 species
UGAUGGCGUGUUUCCCUUUGGGCGAAGGC